GUUUGUCAUUGACUUUGAGUGUGAUUCCAACAUUUUCCUGGUGACACCUAUGUUGGCAUCACGGCACAUGCCAUCUAGUGUGAAGAUUAUAAUUUCGCCUUCAGCUGCUUCGCAUUGUGUUUUCACUGAACUGUCGGGCUGCACUGUGAGGGGAUAAUUCCACUGAAUGACCGAUACCAGUGUUGUCCACACGGGUCACUGAUGCUGGUAGAAACAGAUGAGGAGGGCGAAGCUAGGAAUGGUGGUGCCUUUCCAAGUGCAACUCCUGAGCAGCAGAGACAAGCUUUGGAACUGACUGGCUCCAAACAGAGUGGCAAAGAUUGGGAUGAAAAUAGAUCUUCAGAAUAUGACAUUUACAAUGAGGUACAUUUGCUCCUGGCAGCACCAAAUACUUCAAGAGGAAGAAAGGUAUCAGAAAGGCUCCUUACAGAGUUUGUUAGCCAUUUAGGCAAGAAACUGCUCUUGCCUGAACUGUUUGAUGUUAUGCUGUGUGAACUGGACGUGCAGUACCCACAGAGAGAUGACUGCUGAACUUGCCUAAAGGUGAGAUGGUCCUUCAGGGUUUCUGCUUCAUGGAAAAGUCUGCAAGACAUUCUGCAGGACACAGAAGAAAGUGACUGACAAACUGCCAAUAUAGGCAGAACUGUCUUUUAAAUUUCCUGCUUCAUGGAAAAGUCUGCCAGAUACAAUGGGCCUGUAGUCUGAAGAUGGGUGCCCACAACGUUACAGAAGAACUUUGGGUGAUUGUACAGGAAGCCAGAUGUCUGUCAAUUCUAGAGUGUUGGAAGUUGCUUACAGUGCACUUCCUGUUUACUUAAGUAAUAUUAUAUCCUUCUAGAUUCGUUGAUGGAGUUGAAAAAUAGAUAGUUAUAGUUUUCCUUAGUUAUGAUAAAAGAUAAAGUAGAUAUAAAUAUUGUAACUAUAAUUCUUGCUUGAUAACUGCUUUGUUAUAUGUAAUUUUACUAUGUUAAAAUUUAAAUCUUCCUCUUUAUUUAAACAGAAAAGGGGAAAUAACGUGGGAAGUCCUACUGUAUAUGUGUUACUUUUAUUGAUUAAUGAAUAAAGAAGCUGCUUUCAGCUAGUGGCUUAACAGAAUGGAGCUAGGUGGGAAAACUAAACUGAAUGUUGGAAGAAAGAAGGUGGAGUCAGAGACAUUAUGGAGGGGAAAGAUGCGAGCUGCCCACUGGAACCUUGCCAGUAAGCCACAGUCACGUGGUGAUACACAGAUUAAUAGAAAUGGGCUAACCAAAGAUAUAAGAGCUAACUAGCAAUACACUUAAGUGAUUGGCCAAGUAGUGAUUUAAAUAAUAUAGUUUCUGUGUGAUUAUUUCUAGUCAGGAUGCUCUGGAAAUAAACAAGUGGCCUCCUACAACACAAGACUGCACACCUUUAAAGUACAAAGGGAAGAUUUGGUUUGGAGCAGAAGGGUUAUUGGAAGUUGAACCCAGGGCACACUUGCUAGAUAGGUAGUCUAUUGUUGAGCUACAACAUCAAAUUCUUUUUUUUAAUUAUUACCUAUUUUGAGCUAGGGCCUCAUUCAAUUGAUCCUGGAGCUUACUUUAUAACAUAAGCAAGCCUUGAGCCUGUCAUCCUCCCACCUCAACCUCGCGAGUAGCUGGGAUUACCAGCCUGUAGCAGCAAGUCCAACUUUGCUUUGUGAUUUUUGCCCCUUUUAUAUUUCUUAGGCCUCUUCCUCCUUCUAGAGAGAAGCUCAUUUAUCAUAUAAGGACACUUACCCAGGAAUACCCACCCACAACUUUUACAAUCCCGAAAACUGAAAAGAAAAUGUACUAAACUAAACCACAUCACUUGAAAGGAUGGAUAUCAUAGAGAUAUACAAUGGAAUUAUCUACAGCUUGAAGUGUAUCCACAUAGAUCGCAGAAAUAUAAUGUGGAAAGGGUAUAAAAAGAAAUGAAUAAUAAUGUGUGUCAUAUAAUACCACGUGCAGAUGUAAAUGUAAAAUACAUCAAGGAGCUCUAUCUAUUGCUGGUAGGUACAUCCAUUUGCAGUAAAAGUUCCAAAAUAUAUGGAAGGAUCACACAUCAAAUUCAUGAUGGUCGUUGUCUGCAGGAAAGGCAGGGAAAUGAGGUUUUGAAAGGGAGUAAAAGAAGUCUUCACUUAAUUUUGAAAAUCUAUCUAUCUUUUAAAAUCAGAAGCAAACAUGACACAAUGCUAUCAAUUUUCACUUGAGGCCAGCCCUGGGGGCUCAUACCUUUAAUCUCAGCACUCAAGAAACAGAGACAGGGAGAUCUCUGUGAGUCUGAGGCCAGCCUGGUCUACUUAGAGAGUUCUUGGCCAGCUAGAACUAUAGAAUGAGACCCUGUUUCAAUAAAACAAAAUUAGGUAAAAAAAAUUUUAGGGUGCCUGCUGAGAUGGCUUAAUGUUAAGUGAGCUUACUGUUUGGCAAAUGAUCUGAGUUAGUUCUUCAUACCCCAAAAGUAAGUCAUGAGUACUUGGAACUCUAGCUCCAGAAAGAACCCAUGUGGUGGCCUCAAAAUGCAACUGCAUUCACAUGCACACACCCACAUGCAGUCACACACAUGCACAUAAUUUAAAAUAAUCCUUUUUUAAAUCUACUAUUUGACAUGGAUAGAGGGUAUAUGUAUUACUUUUUUCUAUAUUGAAUUGUAUUCUGACUUAAAAUACACACACACAUACUUUCUCCAACUCCAAUAUUACAUACAAAUUCAUUAUGUGUUAUUCUAAACUUUUGUGAUAUUUCUUAAAAUUCUGUUUUGUAUCCAGAAGGAACCCAGCCUAACAUUUUCAAAAAUAAGUUGCUAACACUGUCUAUCAUUCUGUGUUUCCUUAUCAUACUAUAGUUAUUGGCUUACACCCUUUUCUCCUCCGUGAGAUACUGUCAGACAAUAGUCUUGUACACUGUAAAGAUUUGUCACUUGUAUUGAUUUAAUAAAACACUGAUUGGCCAAUAGACAAACAGGAAGUAUAGGCAGGGUGACCAAAAUAGAAGAAUUCUGAGAAGA